GGGCGUCGAUACCGCCCUGCUCGGCUGCACGCACUUCCCACUGAUCGAGCCGCUGUGGCGAGCGGCCCU
rnacentral:tRNA from 1 species